rfam:Camelus ferus unplaced genomic scaffold scaffold591, whole genome shotgun sequence.
GAGGGUAUAGCUCAGUGGUAGAGCACGUGUUUAGCAUGCUCGAGGUCCUGAGUUCAAUCCCCAGUACCUCCA